rnacentral:rRNA from 1 species
UCGGGAAUUUUGCGCAAUGGGCGAAAGCCUGACGCAGCAACGCCGCGUGAGGGAUGAAGGCCUUCGGGUUGUAAACCUCUUUUCUCAGGGACGAUGAUGACGGUACCUGAGGAAUAAGCCACGGCUAACUACGUGCCAGCAGCCGCGGUAAUACGUAGGUGGCAAGCGUUGUCCGGAUUUACCGGGCGUAAAGAGCGCGCAGGCGGUCGUUCAAGUCGCGUGUGAAAGCCCCCGGCUCAACUGGGGAGGGUCACGCGAUACUGAUCGACUCGAAGGCGGGAGAGGGAAGCGGAAUUCCCGGUGUAGUGGUGAAAUGCGUAGAUAUCGGGAGGAACACCAGUGGCGAAGGCGGCUUCCUGGCCCGUUCUUGACGCUGAGGUGCGAAAGCUAGGGGAGCAAACGGGAUUAGAUACCCCGGUAGUCCUAGCCGUAAACGAUGGACACUAGGUGUUGGUGGUAUCAACCCGCAGUGCCGAAGCUAACGCAUUAAGUGUCCCG